rnacentral:rRNA from 1 species
AUUGAACGCUGGCGGCAGGCCUAACACAUGCAAGUCGAGCGGGGUUUUCGGACCUAGCGGCGGACGGGUGAGUAAUGCGUAGGAAGCUACCCGAUAGAGGGGGAUACCAGUUGGAAACGACUGUUAAUACCGCAUAAUGUCUACGGACCAAAGUGUGGGACCUUCGGGCCACAUGCUAUCGGAUGCGCCUACGUGGGAUUAGCUAGUUGGUGAGGUUAUGGCUCCCCAAGGCGACGAUCCCUAGCUGGUUUGAGAGGAUGAUCAGCCACACGGGAACUGAGACACGGUCCGGACUCCUACGGGAGGCAGCAGGGGGGAAUAUUGGACAAUGGGCGCAAGCCUGAUCCAGCCAUGCCGCGUGUGUGAAGAAGGCCUUCGGGUUGUAAAGCACUUUCAGUAGGGAGGAAGCGUUGUGUGUUAAUAGUACACAGCGUUGACGUUACCUACAGAAGAAGCACCGGCUAACUCUGUGCCAGCAGCCGCCGCAGUA